UAACCUUCACAGUUUCCUUCAUCUCUCCCGCAUCUCUAAUCUAAUUACUUCUCCUGCAUCUCUCUUUCUUCUUUCCUUCACAUUUUCUCAAACAAACCCUAGCCACCGCCGCCACGAGUGCACCACACUGACCACAGCCACCACCGCCACCUUUCAGGCCUCAAUAAAAAAUCUAACACUUCAGGGUUACGAAUUCAGAGAAACCUUCUUCUUCUCGAAGCAAUUCAACUUCCUCCUCGGCGCAGCUGUAUUCGGACCCAUCAACGACUUCCUCCCUUCGGACGGAUCGGCUAGGGCUUCAAAGCGUCCUUCUUCCUCCCUUCAGACGAAUCAUCUGUAUUCGGCGCGUCUUAACUAGGGCUGCAAACCGUCCUUCUUCCUUUCAGAUGGAUCGGCGGCUAACGACUGCUAACGACUGGGAUUUGGGAUUUCAUUUGGGUUGUUCGGCGUUCGGCUAAUUCCUACGUUGCAUCUGGGAUUUCAUUUGAGUCGCAGCUUCACUUGUGUUAAAUCUCACUCUACUAGUUUGUAAUAUGCAAGUACAAAGAAAAUUGAUGCAGAUGCAGAUGUUCUUCCUUGCCAUUUAGAGGCUCUUUUAUCAAGUUAAGCGAAUUGCAUCAGAUUGGCUACUACUGAUGUACUCCUCCUGAUGUAAAUUGAAUAUGCUACUACCUUGAUUUAAGUUGAAUCAGAUUGGCUCGUGUGAUUGUGCUCCUUCUGAUGUACUUGUUUUUAAAUAUGUUUCUGUAGAUUGGCUCACAUAAUACUUCAAACUUAUCCAAGUUCAAUAUGUUUCUGUUGCUUAUCAGAGGAAGAGAAGAAGUUCAUGACUUCAAUGAUUGUGCUUAGUUUGUACUUUGUAGUUCAAUAUGUUUUGUAGCUUUUGGUUGUUAUUUACUUAUUUUCUGAUAUUGAACUUUGUGACCGAGAAUGUUGAACUUGUAUGAAGUGCUAGGCAUUUAAAUUCUAGACUUUUAUGUGGCAUGUAUUUCUAAAUUUAUGAUUGUAUUUAGUGAAAUUUUUGUAAGCCUUUUUUGAUUAUGAUCAUGUGAAAAAUUAUGGUCAA